rnacentral:rRNA from 1 species
GAUGAACGCUGGCGGCGUGCCUAAUACAUGCAAGUCGAGCGAACAGAUAAGGAGCUUGCUCCUUUGACGUUAGCGGCGGACGGGUGAGUAACACGUGGGUAACCUACCUAUAAGACUGGGAUAACUUCGGGAAACCGGAGCUAAUACCGGAUAACAUUUGGAACCGCAUGGUUCUAAAGUGAAAGAUGGUUUUGCUAUCACUUAUAGAUGGACCCGCGCCGUAUUAGCUAGUUGGUAAGGUAACGGCUUACCAAGGCGACGAUACGUAGCCGACCUGAGAGGGUGCUCGGCCACACUGGAACUGAGACACGGUCCAGACUCCUACGGGAGGCAGCAGUAGGGAAUCUUCCGCAAUGGGCGAAAGCCUGACGGAGCAACGCCGCGUGAGUGAUGAAGGGUUUCGGCUCGUAAAACUCUGUUAUUAGGGAAGAACAAAUGUGUAAGUAACUGUGCACGUCUUGACGGUACCUAAUCAGAAAGCCACGGCUAACUACGUG